rnacentral:rRNA from 1 species
UUCAGAGGAACCUGUCCUAUAAUUGAUAGUCCACAAUUUAAAAAACUUAUUUUAUUAAUUUACAUAUCGCCGUAGUUUGAAUAUUCUUAAAGGAAAUUAAUAUUCAAAAAUUUAUAUUAAAAAUUAAAUCAGGUCAAGGUGUAGUUUAUAGGUAAGGAGAGAUGGGUUACAAUAAAUUUAUUUAAACGGAUGAUUAUUUUAAAUAUUAAUUUGAAGGUGGAUUUGAAAGUAAUUUUUAUAAAAUAAUAAAAAUGAUUUUAGCUCUAAAAUAUGUACAUAUCGCCCGUCACUUUCACUAUAAAGUGAAAUAAGUCGUAACAUAGUAGGUGUACUGGAAAGUGUACCUAGAAAGACAAAUUAGAGCUUGAUAUAAAGCAUUUUAGUUACAUUAAAAAGUUUAUUGUGAAAAUCAAUAUAAUUUGAGUAAAAGUUAUUAUUUAAAUUUUAAAUUUAUAUUUAUUUGAAUAAAAUAAUUUAAUGUUUAAUUAUUUAAUUAGAAAAAAUUUUUAUAUUAUAGUAAAUUUGUAUUGUGAAAGAAUUAAUUAAAAUUUUUUAUAGAAUAUUUUAUUUUUAGUACCUUGUGCAUCAGGGUUAAUUUAAAAAAUUUUAAUUAGUUAAUUUUCUCGAAUUUAAAAGAGCUAUAAAAUUAUAUUUUUUAUUGUUAUAUAAAUAUUAAAAAUAAUUUUAUUGUAAUGAAAUGUUAUUCGUUUUUAAAUAUAUCUAGUUUUUUAAGAAAUAAAUUUAAUUUAACUAAUAAAAAUAUUUAUUUAAAUUUUUAAUUAAAUAUUAUUAUUAUUAAAUAUUUUAAGGGAUGAGCUUUAAAAUAAAUUAUUAUAAAUUAAUAUUAAAUUUAGUUAAGUAGGAUUAAAAUUUUUUAUCUUUAAUAGUAUGUUAUAAUAAAUUUAUAUAAACAAUAAAAUUUAUAUUGAUUUUAAAUUUUUUAUUAAAAUAUUAAUUUAAAUUUUUUAUAUUAAGAAAUAAUGAUUAAAUUAGUAUAAAUUUAUGUAAUUUAUUUUAAAUUUUAGGUUAAAUAAAGGAAUUCGGCAAAUUAUUUUUCACCUGUUUAUUAAAAACAUGGCUUUUUGAUUAUAAUUUAAAGUCUGACCUGCCCAAUGAAAAUUUUAAAUGGCCGCGGUAUUUUGACCGUGCAAAGGUAGCAUAAUCAUUUGUUUUUUAAUUGAAAGCUGGAAUGAAAGGUUGAAUGAAAAAAUUACUGUCUCUAUUUAAAUUUUAAAAUUUUAUUUUUAAGUUAAAAAGCUUAAAUGAAUUUUGAAGACGAGAAGACCCUAUAGAGUUUAAUAAUUUAAGUUUUUAAUAGGUUUAGAAUUUUUAUAUAUUUAAUAAUUUAAUUUAUUUAGUUGGGGUGAUUAAAAAAUUUAUUUAACUUUUUUUGUAUUAUACCAUUAAUUAGUGAUUAAUUGAUCCUUAAAAAGAUUAAAAGAUUAAAUUACCUUAGGGAUAACAGCGUAAUUUUUUUUUAGAGUUCAAAUUAAAAAAAAAGAUUGCGACCUCGAUGUUGGAUUAAAAUUAAUUAUUGGUGUAGAAGCUAAAUAAAUUAGGUCUGUUCGACCUUUAAAAUUUUACUUGAUCUGAGUUCAAACCGGUGUAAGCCAGGUUGGUUUCUAUCUCAAAAUAGUUAAUAUAUUUUAGUACGAAAGGACCUAAAUAUUUUAUUAAUAAUUUUAUUUAAGAAUUAUAUUGUUAUUUUGGCAGAAUAGUGCGAUAGAUUUAGAAUCUUUAUAUGUAAUUUUACAAAUAAUAUUGUUAUUUAAAGAUUUUUUUAUAUUAUUAAUUUCUAAUGUAAUUUUAUCUUUAAGAGUAAUGUUAGGGGUAGCUUUUUUAACCUUAUUAGAACGUAAAGUAUUAGGAUAUAUUCAAAUUC